UACGUAGGCAGCAAGCGUUGUUCGGAAUUACUGGGCGUAAAGAGUGUGUAGGCGGUGCUCCAAGUCUGGUGUGAAAUCUCCCGGCUCAACUGGGAGGGUGCGCUAGAAACUGGAAUGCUAGAGGAUGGGAGAGGUAAGCGGAAUUCCUGGAUGUAGCGGUGAAAUGCGUAGAUAUCAGGAGGAACACCUGUGGUGUAGACAGCUUACUGGACCAUUUCUGACGCUGAGACACGAAAGCGUGGGUAGCAAACAGG
rnacentral:rRNA from 1 species